GGGGGCGAUUGGAGUUGACGGGGUACAGUUGGGACAGGUUGCGAGCCGAGGCGCCGCUGGCCUCGUAAAAAGCGGCAAAAACACAAAAGCGAACAACAACUUCGCAACCGCGCGCAACGCCAACGUUGCGCUCGUCGCUUAAUUAGCUCCGCUAGUUAACUGACACGUCGCGAUUGGUACUGGCGGAAUGGACCAGUCGUGGCUUACUAACAUCCGCUACCUAUCAGCGCAACGCCUGUAGCGCCGGGGGAAACACCACAGGAUCACCGCGACGAGAGCCUGUCUUUGGGCGAGCGACGUGGGACAUUUAAAACGAAGACUACGCUCGUAGAUGCUUGUUCUUCGCUGGCUUCGGACGGGAGUUCGAGUCUCCCCGCCUCUACUG
rnacentral:tmRNA from 1 species